rnacentral:ncRNA from 1 species
UACAAGUAGAGGUGCACAUGACACUGGUAAAAGUUGGAGUAGCCAUACUGUGAAGACUUUGAAGAGGGAUUGUGCCGAAAUGGUAAAGCUGGACACUUUGCUGUUGGGACUUCGUUUAAGAGAUGAAGUACUGUCAUGAUUAUCAUGGUGCGCUACAU